AUCAAUAAAGGCAGAGAUUAAACACACAUGAUCUCGUCUGAUCUCAGAAGCUAAGCAGGGUCGGACCUGGUUAGUACUUGGAUGGGCGACCACCUAGGAAGACCAGGUGCUGUUGAUG
rnacentral:rRNA from 1 species